GAUGAACGCUGGCGGCGUGCCUAAUACAUGCAAGUCGAGCGAACGGACGAGAAGCUUGCUUUUCUGAUGUUAGCGGCGGACGGGUGAGUAACACGUGGAUAACCUACCUAUAAGACUGGGAUAACUUCGGGAAACCGGAGCUAAUACCGGAUAAUAUUUUGAACCGCAUGGUUCAUAAGUGAAAGACGGUCUUGCUGUCACUUAUAGAUGGAUCCGCGCUGCAUUAGCUAGUUGGUAAGGUAACGGCUUACCAAGGCAACGAUGCAUAGCCGACCUGAGAGGGUGAUCGGCCACACUGGAACUGAGACACGGUCCAGACUCCUACGGGAGGCAGCAGUAGGGAAUCUUCCGCAAUGGGCGAAAGCCUGACGGAGCAACGCCGCGUGAGUGAUGAAGGUCUUCGGAUCGUAAAACUCUGUUAUUAGGGAAGAACAUAUGUGUAAGUAACUGUGCACAUCUUGACGGUACCUAACCAGAAAGCCACGGCUAACUACGUG
rnacentral:rRNA from 1 species